UACGGGGGGGGCGAGCGUUGUUCGGAAUUAUUGGGCGUAAAGGGAGCGUAGGCGGUGCGGUAAGUUUGGUGUGAAACCUCCAGGCUUAACUUGGAGCUGGCAUCAAAUACUGCCGUGCUAGAGUGUGGGAGAGGAGAGUGGAAUUCCCGGUGUAGCGGUGAAAUGCGUAGAUAUCGGGAGGAACAUCGGUGGCGAAGGCGGCUCUCUGGACCACAACUGACGCUGAGGCUCGAAAGCUAGGGGAGCAAACAGG
rnacentral:rRNA from 1 species